UGUAGAUAUAAUAAUACUUUGUUUCAUAAUAAACAAUUUGUCAAGUGUCAUUUAUUUACUGGUAAUAGUGCAUGUUUCAGUCGGGCAAAUCUUGAUUAAUAUUUGAUACGCCGAUUUUUGCAUAUUUCAGACACAUCCAGAAAUAUCCUCCCGAAUUUAAAGAUUAAUAUCUCCGUGAAUUUUUAAGUGAAAUACAACUGUAAUAUAUCAAAGUCUAAGUUAGUCCUUCCUCUAUUUGAUGCAAGUUAUUUCUCUUUAAAAGCUAUACUUGUUUAGAUGUUAUUACGAAUCAAACAGGAGUACUUUUUUUUGGGCCACCCGGUAUAACAUGAUUUUCACCAACUGGUGAGUCAAAAAUAUGGUGAUCUAGCUCAGUAAAAAGAUUGUGUAUGGACAAUGAAGCCAGAACAUAUGGACAAUGAACAAUGAAGCCAGAACAGAAGUGGUCAGAGCAUAUAAGUGUCUGCUUUCUGAGAACAGAACAGUAUGGACAAUGCAACCAGAACAAAAGUGGUCAGAACAUAUAAACAUCUGCUUUUUGGGUGACCACUUUUCUUGAUGAACAUUUUGUAUCAACUGUUUUCAUAGUACUUCAUCCUUAGGGAUGUUUAUCAUGUUAAUGCAGGUCUAAUUUCAAUCAAUAUAAUAGUACACUGUAAAAAAAUAAAAAUAAAUUGCUUACUGAUG